UAUACUCAAUUCUUAGGUAGUGUGGGAUUAUUUUAUACCUUCCAUCUUCAUCUGGCACCCAGGUGAAUCCCAACUCCACAUCUACGGGGAUAGACAAAACAGGUCUCCCACCUCUGCCUGCCUGGCUUGAUUUCAUCCACUAAAUGGCUUUUUUGCCAAACCCCACCACAGCCCCAGCAGAGCCACUGUGCAGGCAAAUUGGCAAUAAUCCCGGCUUGUGUACGCUGCCCUCAUCUCCCCUGCUGUUUUCCCUGCUGCACAAAGCCACGCAAAGCUUCCUGUUUGUGUCCCCUGCUUGCAAACUCUAGACUCCUUGUUCAGUGUACAGAAUUGAUUUAAUUGAUUUAAAUUUCUCAGGCAAAGCAUUUUUGUCAGUAUUUAACCAGGCAGCAACGCGUGGAGCCACCGCUGGUCACAUCUUUCCACCAUGCAGCUGCAACCGCGACACCUGCUGGCCAAUAAAGAGUACUACAUCUAUCACAAUUUACUAAACUCUAACAAAGGAAAACUCACAUCUUCAAAAAGUCAAGAGCCCCUGGACGUUUGGAUACCUAAAGAGA